AUUGAACGCUGGCGGCAGGCCUAACACAUGCAAGUCGAACGGUAACAGGAAUAUGCUUGCUUCUUUGCUGACGAGUGGCGGACGGGUGAGUAAUGUCUGGGCAACUGCCUGAUGGAGGGGGAUAACUACUGGAAACGGUAGCUAAUACCGCAUAACGUCGCAAGACCAAAGAGGGGGACCUUCGGGCCUCUUGCCAUCGGAUGUGCCCAGAUGGGAUUUUCUAGUAGGUGGGGUAACGGCUCACCUAGGCGACGAUCCCUCGCUGGUCUGAGAGGAUGACCAGCCACACUGGAACUGAGACACGGUCCAGACUCCUACGGGAGGCAGAAGUGGGGAAUAGUGCACAAUGGGCGCAAGCCUGAUGCAGCCAUGCCGCGUGUAUGAAGAAGGCCUUCGGGUUGUAAAGUACUUUCAGCGGGGAGGAAGGGAGUAAAGUUAAUACCUGUGCUCAUUGACGGUACCCGCAGAAGAAGCACCGGCUAACUACGUG
rnacentral:rRNA from 1 species